UACGUAGGGUGCAAGCGUUGUCCGGAAUUACUGGGCGUAAAGGGCUCGUAGGCGGCCAACUAAGUCGGAUGUGAAAUCCCCAGGCUUAACCUGGGAACUGCAUCCGAUACUGGAUGGCUUGAAUCCGGGAGAGGGAUGCAGAAUUCCAGGUGUAGCGGUGAAAUGCGUAGAUAUCUGGAGGAAUACCGGUGGCGAAGGCGGCAUCCUGGACCGGCAUUGACGCUGAUGAGCGAAAGCUAGGGGAGCAAACAGG
rnacentral:rRNA from 1 species